rnacentral:snRNA from 1 species
AUCGCUUCUCGGCCUUUUGGCUAAGAUCAAGUGUAGUAUUUUUGGGGAAAAAGGCAUACUGGAGAUAGAAACCAAGGACACUUUACCAGUGAGUUAUAUCCAUAACCCUUUAAAAAAAUUUUAUUUUAUUUUUUUAAAUAUUUAUU